CGCUAUACUACCCGCUGAAAUAAUCGGCUCAACGCUACGAGCGGGUGUUCAAUGUGU
rfam:Enterobacter sp. 638, complete genome.